GAACCGUCACUGUGUUUGCUCGUGUUGUUAUCUCUAUUAUAGUGUCAUAUUCUCUUUGUUGUUACCCAAAAUUAUAUCGUUUAAAAAUGUCUGUUUGUGUCUUUAAAGUGUGCAGAAACUAUAAAGGUCGAUCUAAAACAACGCAUAAUGUCACCUAUCACCGAAUACCAAGUGAUCCUAUAAUGAGAAGCCGAUGGACACAGAUUAUACAGAGAAGUCGCUGUGAGGAAUUGUGGAAACCAUCAAAAUAUUCUUUGGUUUGCUCUGACCAUUUCAAUAAAAAUGAAAUGUAUUUUGUAAAUAAUGAAGGACGCCGAAGAUUAAAAAAACAGCGGUUCCAUGUAAGGCUUUAUUUUUAUCGUCAGUGCAAUCUGACGGCAGUGAUAUUGUCACCGAUGAAGAAAUAAAUAAUUCUUCCAUAGCUUUUGAUGCUGGAUCUGGUAUUUCAAGAGAUAAACCACACAUAAACUUCGUAGACAUGAGGAACACAUCAAACGCUCCAGAGAAUACAGGUCAUUGGCAACAUACGAAAAAUACUUCGAACGAUACAGAAAUUGAGACUGAAGUCUAUGAAGAAUUUUCAGACCUCGAUUCAGUUUUCGAUACACCAAAGGAAGCAAAAUUAAGACGGGAUUUACACAGAAAAAAUAUUCUUCAAAGAAAACAUAUAUUAAAGAUACAAUCACUUAGACGAAAAAUUAUACGAUUGAAAAAGAAGAUUACCACUUAUAAAGAAAUUAUAGGAAACCUUAAAAAAGAAAAAUAAAACGUACUAAGUAUAAAACUAUAUAAUCAUAUAUGGGAGGGGAUUAGUUAAAACAAAUACUACUUUUCAAGUAAAGUGCUUGUUUAAGAAUU